AUAUCUUUCUGUACGGGAAGGAUGAGAAGCUUCGACUAAGGUUCGAUUCGAGCGCAGCGAGAAAGCGUUGCCGCAGGCAACGACCCGAAGGGCGAAGCGCGCAACGCUGAGUCAUCCUUCCCCCACCACCA
rnacentral:sRNA from 1 species